UACGGAGGGGCUAGCGUUGUUCGGAAUUACUGGGCGUAAAGCGCGCGUAGGCGGCUUUGUAAGUUAGAGGUGAAAGCCCGGAGCUCAACUCCGGAAUUGCCUUUAAGACUGCAUCGCUAGAAUCAUGGAGAGGUGAGUGGAAUUCCGAGUGUAGAGGUGAAAUUCGUAGAUAUUGGGAAGAACACCGGUGGCGAAGGCGGGUCUCUGGGCCGAUACUGACGCUGAGGAGCGAAAGCGUGGGGAGCGAACAGGAUUAG
rnacentral:rRNA from 1 species